GGGGCUAUAGCUCAGCUGGGAGAGCGCCUGCCUUGCACGCAGGAGGUCAGGGGUUCGAUCCCCCUUGGCUCCA
rfam:Paenibacillus sp. Y412MC10, complete genome.